rnacentral:ncRNA from 8 species
UCUUUGGUUAUCUAGCUGUAU